rnacentral:rRNA from 1 species
UACGCAGGGGGCUAGCGUUGUUCGGACUUACUGGGCGUAAAGCGCGCGCAGGCGGUCCUUUAAGUCAGGGGUGAAAGCCCAGAGCUCAACUCUGGAACUGCCUUUGAAACUAGAGGACUUGGGUACGGGAGAGGUGAGUGGAAUUCCGAGUGUAGAGGUGAAAUUCGUAGAUAUUCGGAAGAACACCAGUGGCGAAGGCGGCUCACUGGCCCGUUACCGACGCUCAGGCGCGACAGCGUGGGGAGCAAACAGG